rnacentral:rRNA from 1 species
AACGAACGCUGGCGGCAGGCUUAACACAUGCAAGUCGAGCGCCCCGCAAGGGGAGCGGCAGACGGGUGAGUAACGCGUGGGAAUCUACCCAUCUCUACGGAAUAACGCAUGGAAACGUGUGCUAAUACCGUAUACGUCCUUCGGGAGAAAGAUUUAUCGGAGCUGGAUGAGCCCGCGUUGGAUUAGCUAGUUGGUGGGGUAAAGGCCUACCAAGGCGACGAUCCAUAGCUGGUCUGAGAGGAUGAUCAGUCACACUGGGACUGAGACACGGCCCAGGCUCCUACGGGAGGCAGCAGUGGGAAAUAUUGGACAAUGGGCGCAAGCCUGAUCCAGCCAGGCCGCGUGAGUGAUGAAGGCCCUACGGUUGUAAAGCUCUUUCACCGGUGAGGAUAAUGACGGUAAGCGGAGAAGAAGCCCCGGCUAACUUCGUGCCAGCCGCCGCGGUAACAC